rnacentral:rRNA from 1 species
UAGGGAAUCUUCGGCAAUGGACGAAAGUCUGACCGAGCAACGCCGCGUGAGUGAAGAAGGUUUUCGGAUCGUAAAACUCUGUUGGUAGAGAAGAACGUUGGUGAGAGUGGAAAGCUCAUCAAGUGACGGUAACUACCCAGAAAGGAACGGCUAAAUACGUGCCGG